GAUAAUGAUGACUAACUGAAU
rnacentral:miRNA from 1 species